rnacentral:sRNA from 1 species
UGAAAAGUAUAUAAGUCGACGCCAUACUUUGCUACCAUGGUGGCCUAGAUUAGACUUGAUAUACUCUUUUCUUUUCUCUAAAUCGUUUUACUAAAAAAAAAAAAAUUAAGGAAUGGCCCAAUCAAAAGUUUUUACCCUAUGUGCCUUAAUCGUGUUAGUAGGCCUAUUAUUGCUGGUGGAGUCUAAGUCUGCACAGAGAGCACGUUUGAUUCAGUCAAGACUGGUGGUCAAGAAAACCUUAGCUCCCAGCAGAAGUUCGCCAAGACCCACGUAUCAAGGCCAUGCACUGAGACUUGUGACUAGCGCUACCAGAAGAGCGAAACAUUUCAAAGCAUUGGUGAAUACGGCAACAACAUCGAGAACGACGCCAGUGAUCACAACUUCCAGAGCAACAACCAAAGUAACAACCAAGACAACAACUCGACAUGUAACAACACAGAAAACUGUAACAACGACAUUAAAAACAACCUUGCCGACUGUAACAACACCCAAGACGACGCCAAGGACUACCACAAGACCAACUGUACCCACGAUCACCUCAAAAUCAACUUCUGUAAAAAUAAGCACCACUUUCAAAACUACUCCCACAUCAGCUACC